GACACCAAACCCCCGGAAGGGGGGCUCAGAGCGAGUGACUUGGGCACUGCCGGAGGGCAGUGUGGCGAAGAGAGCAACGCGACUGGAAGCUUCCAGAGGGGAAACGCCACGUAAGCGGAGGCCGGUGCGGGUGGAAUGGACUGAUUCCGGGGGACAGACGACGGCCCCCCGCUACGGUGGCACGUGGGAAGGAUGUCAGAACCAGAGAAGUGGAAGACGUGGGAGUAUAAUCCUUUCUGCAUUUCUACAUAUUCGAAUUAAACAUUUAAAUCUGCUAGCAGGAGAAUCCUGAAAGCAGUUUGGCUUCAAGAAGGAGCAAGAUUGGGGCAGGGCCAGCUGAACACACACUGCAGCUGCUGGAGGCUCCGUUGUUGCAAUGAGCUCGGUCUGAGCAUAUUCCUGUAAGGGCGCAGAGCACCAAUGAAUUCAUGAGGCUAGUUGCAUUGUGUAAAGGACUGAUGGAUCAAAGAUCUGUGGAGUGUUGCUGCUUUCUUGCUGAUUGCAGGGGAUUGCAUUAGCAGAGCUGCUGAAUUUUGAUAAGGACUGUACAAGUUAAGACUUCGUAGGGAAGAGAAAGAGAGGAACAAGAGCUAUGGCAAGAGGAUUACACAGUUGUUAAAGAUAUUGAAGCACAUCUUGAAGAUUACCAGAUUCUUCAUUUCCUACUGUAUCUGCCAGACUGUGCAACAGAGUUGAUCUGUGACAUCCUUCCAAUCAAAACUAAAGAUUUCAUAGUUUGUUGUGGUAGUUUCAUCUUAUUUAAUGUUGGAAUAGAAGCUUGGAGUGGGAUAUUUUUCUUCCCAAUCUCAUUAAAUCUUUUUAAAAUCUUUGAUACGCUCACUCCUGGGCAUGAAGGCCAUAUAAUGAAACAUAUUUAUUAGCUCAUUUUUAAAAAAGAGUAACUAAUAUAUUGCUUCAUUCAUACAAAGGAUGAUUUUAAUGCUGAUUUUGCAAAUUUUAUCUUUAUAUAGGGUUAUUAUGUGGCAUAUAGACUCGUAAAAUACUUUUUUAUGUUAUUGAUGACAUUGACUCUUUACCUAGUUUGUCCUUCAUGAAUUCCCCUUCAUUCUAGUUGCUAAACCAGUUCUAUUUUUUGGCAAGAACUAUUAAGAAACUUUUAAAUUAUGCUAUCUCAUAAAGAGAGGAAACUAUUCUAUGGAUAGCACAGUCUCUGGGGAUGCAUGUUCCAAAUAAUGUAAUACUUGCUUCAUACUUGGUACUCAUGAGUAAAUGAAUAUUAGUACAUUCUAUGUAGUUCUGUGAUGAUGAGUUCAGUUUAGAAUUCAACUAAACCAGUUACCUUUCCCAAAACUGCUUUCAUUUGGGAAUACUCUCUCCAGCUUAGUUACCUGGGGUGAAUUUCUGGCCCUUGCUGAAUUAGUCGGAGUUUUGUAAUUGACUUCAGUUGGGUAGGAUUCCACUGCUGGUGUUUCAUAAAUGCUAAGAUCUGAAGUGAUUAUCUGGUUUGACCUCCUGUAUGGCACAGGCCAUUUAAAUUUCCCCAAAUAAUUCCUAGAACAGAUCUUUUAAAAAACAACCAACCUUGAUUGUAGAAUUGCCAGUGAUGGAGAAUCUACCAUGACCUCCAACAAAUUGUUCUAGUGAUUAAUUACUUACAGUGUUAAAAAUUUACAUCUUAUUUCCAGUCUGAAUUUCUCUAGGUUCAAUUUCCAGCCAUUGGAUUGUGUCAUACAUUAUGCUGCUAGAUGGAAGAGCCCAUUAUUAAAUAUUAGGUCUCCAUGUAGGUGCUUAUACUGUAACCAAGUCACUCCUUAACUUUCUCUUUGUUAACAUAAAUAGAUUAAGCACCUUGAGUUUUUAUCACUAAAUGGCAUAUUUUUACCCCUUUAGUCAUUCUCAUGUUUAUGAACUCUCUCUGAUUUCUUCUGAGUUCUUUCUUGAACUGUGGAUACCAGAACAUGAGUUAGACAGAAUCAAGAAAUCUAACACUCAAGAGAAUUUUUAUUUUAUUUUAAGUGUAAGUGCAUUGGAUUUGUUUCUGUACCAACAUAGUAGAGCACACUUAGAAGUUGCUAUGAUAUGUGAUGGAAAUCAGAAAACUUCACAGUUUUUAAAGCAAAUGCAUGGAUUUUCACAAAAAGCAAACUAUGGUGCAUUUGACUCCAACAAAUCUCCCUCCAGAGUACUUGAAAACACCACUUAGAAAUGCAGAAUGAUUGUAAGCCAGAAAGACAUUGUAGAACUGCAGUGUGGAGGGACUCAUUGGGGAUUUAGACACAUCUGACUAAUCAAGGCAGGAGCUUAAAGGCUCCCAGUUAUAUUUGACCUUCGUUGUUAGCUUUUGUGUAUUAGGUUUAUAUGGCUUUGGCUUUGCAUCACAUUUUUGGUUGAAGGAGAAGCAGUUUAUGUUGAUGUAAAAUGAUGAACAGAAAUAUUGGAAUAUGCUAAAGCUAUUAUCAGUUCCACUCUUUAUCCUUCAGUCCUUCUAAAGACCAUUCUUAUGGAGUUAAAUAUAAAAAUUCAGAAGAAUUGAAUACCUGUCAAAAACUUGAGAAUUGUUAAAAGGGAGGGAAAAAAUAAAAUAACCAGCAGAUUUCUAUAACCAGCAGAUUGCUUCAUCACUCGUCCUUGGUGUUUGUAUCUUUGAUACUUUAUGUGUGGUAUACGCUCUUACUCUGCACUUUAGAAAGGGAUUAAGUUAAUGUGCACAAAAGCACUUUUGUGGAAUAAGGUGUCCAUAUGAGGAGUCUGUGUGGAACAGCUAUGCCAACAUAACUCCCUAAUGUAGAUGCAGCUUACAUGGAAGGAAUUUUUAGGUUGGUGUAGGAGUACCAUAUCCUUGAACAAUGUUAGCUACGACAAAGGAAGCACUCUUCCUGCACUGGGGUUUUUGUUAGCACAACUAUGUUGAUCAGGGAUAUGUUUUAUUCAUCCUUCCCCACCUGGACCACUGUACCAAUGCCAAUAUAACUAUUCAGGGUGGACUAAAGUCUAAGGCCUUUUCCAUACUUACCCAGAAAUCAGCGUUCUGGAGAUCAAUCUUCUGGGCUUCAAUUUAGCAGGUCUAGUAAGGGCUCGCUAAAUUGAGUGCUGCUGAUGGUGCCCCCAUCGACUCCAGUACUCCAUGGGUUCAUGAGGAGUAAGGGAACUUUCCCUCACUGACCUCUCUCAGUGGGUAACCGUGGUAUGUUGAACUAAGGUACAUAAACAAAAGCUCUACUAUUCACGUAACUGGAGUUGCAUAUCUUAGCUUGACUUUCUCCCCCAGUGUUGACCUGGCCUAGUGAGAAGCUACAGUUCAAGGUCAUAGCUAAUUUGUAUACCUGAAGUAAGAGUGGAUGUAAAUUUUCAGCCAUGUCUCCCAUCUUCAGCCAUAAUUUCUUCUGAUUUUUGACACACCCAAAACUGAACUUUUGAACUUCCUUCCGGCAUGCCCUAAUUGCUCACCUUGAAAAUUCUCCUGAAUAAGAAUAAUUCAGUCUCCAGACUCCUGGAUGUAAGUCACAUUGGCAUCAGUAGGUGUUAGGCACACAUCUCCUGAGGAGAAUUGAGCCUCUAGGCUCUGAUUUUUAAAUUGUGCACACAACUGUGUAAAAAUAUACAAAUUGUGUGGUCAUUUAAACAAAAGUGUAACACUUUUGGAUUCAAUAGGGUAAACAAGUAUGUACAUCAAAGAAGAAUCUGGGGCCUAUAAUUACUGUGGUUGAAUGAACAAAUUGAGAAUUUAUAAAUAUCCAGUUAUGAAUCUAACCAGUCAAAUACGUGUGCAGAUACUCAGUUUGUGCAUGCAGUCAUAAGUAACUGCUUGUGUAAUUAAGCAUGCAAUUGGACACCAAUAUUUUGCAUAUUAAUUUUGAAAAUCAGGCCAUCUGUGUUGCAGUAUUCUGCUAUUCUGUUUUCAUUUGGAAGACAUGGUGGUUGCAGGUUAUUGAAACAUUCCUGCAUCAAUAAUUAUAUAUUUACAGAAAGGCCCAUUUUUAUUUUUUAAAUGUUUAAAGUGCCAAUUUCUGUCCUUCUUUUGCCUCCAUAAACAAUAUGAUUUUUCUUAAUUGAAAACAAUCCAAAUACAUUUGCAGUAGAAAUAUUGUGGCUUAUCUAGUCAAAUAUUUUAUUCUUCAGACUUUUUUUUUUCACCAAGAUCUCUUUGGUCUUAACCUGUAGUUCAAAAUUUUUUGUUUGUUUUAGACUGAGUUGAUUUUGUCUCAUUAGUUUCCCUCCCCCCAUUAUCUUCAGUUUUGAUAAAGUCCCAAGUACUUCCUUACUUACAUUACUAAAGGAAACCCUCAUAAAUAUCUAA